rnacentral:tRNA from 1 species
ACCAGAGGUUACUUCCUGAGCUUGGAAGUUGGGGUGGCGGGGUUUGCCACAUGAGAUCGGUUAACUCGAUUAGCCUC